rnacentral:rRNA from 1 species
AGAUAAUAGAUACCCAGGUAGUCCACGCCCUAAACGAUGUCUACUAGUUGUCGGGUCUUAAUUGACUUGGUAAACGCAGCUAAACGCGUGAAGUAGACCGCCUGGGGAGUACGGUCGCAAGAUUAAAACUACAAAGGAAUUGACGGGGACCCGGCACAAGCGGUGGGUGAUGUGGAUUAAUUCGAUGCAACGCGAAAAACCUUACCUACCCUUGACAUGGAUGGAAUCCUUGAGAGAUUGAGGAGUGCUCGAAAGAGAACCAUUACACAGGUGCUGCAUGGCUGUCGUCAGCUCGUGUCGUGAGAUGUUGGGUUAAGUCCCGCAACGAGCGCAACCCUUGUCAUUAGUUGCUACGAAAGGGCACUCUAAUGAGACUGCCGGUGACAAACCGGAGGAAGGUGGGGAUGACGUCAAGUCCUCAU